rnacentral:rRNA from 1 species
GACGAACGCUGGCGGCGUGCUUAACACAUGCAAGUCGAACGGAAAGGCCCUGCUUUUUUGGGGUGCUCGAUUGGCGAACGGGUGAGUAACACGUGAGUAACCUGCCCUUGACUUUGGGAUAACUUCAGGAAACUGGGGCUAAUACCGGAUAGGAGCUCCUGCUGCAUGGUGGGGGUUGGAAAGUUUCGGCGGUUGGGGAUGGACUCGCGGCUUAUCAGCUUGUUGGUGGGGUAGUGGCUUACCAAGGCUUUGACGGGUAGCCGGACUGAGAGGGUGACCGGCCACAUUGGGACUGAGAUAAGGGCCAGACUCCUAAGGGAGGCAGGAGUGGGGAAUAUUGCAAAAUGGGCGGAAGCCGGAGGGAGCAACGCCGCGUGCGGGAUGACGGCCUUCGGGUUGGAAACCGCUUUCGCCUGUGACGAAGCGUGAGGGACGGAACUGGGUAAAGAAGCACCGGCUAACUACGG